GCGGCGCUGGCCUGGCUCGACCGGGUCUCGGCCGCGGCCUGAGCGGCGAGACGGUUCAGAGGCCGUCGCGCCGCA
rnacentral:tRNA from 1 species